rnacentral:rRNA from 1 species
UACGGAGGGUGCAAGCGUUAUCCGGAAUCAUUGGGUUUAAGGGGUCCGCAGGCGGUCUUAUAAGUCAGUGGUGAAAGCCUACAGCUCAACUGUAGAACUGCCAUUGAUACUGUAAGACUUGAAUUCGAUCGAAGUGGGCGGAAUAUGACAUGUAGCGGUGAAAUGCUUAGAUAUGUCAUAGAACACCGAUAGCGAAGGCAGCUCACUAGGUCUGGAUUGACGCUCAGGGACGAAAGCGUGGGGAGCAAACAGG